GCUACCUCUCUUGGAUCAUUGUUCCUCUUUACGUGCUAUGGCCAAUUUCAAAACCGAGAUUGCGAUUAGGAGAAUAAGGAAUUAGGACGAGCAGAAGCCGAUUUAGUAGUAGCAGCGAAAGCAGUUAAACUUUCAACUAUAGAUCAAGAUUUGUUCAUGAAGGAAAGAGAUUUAGUCCCUCUGUAUGCGAACAAGCUUGGUUAUCGCAAAGGCGCUUCUUCAGCCUGUAGUAUAUGUAGGUUUCGAUUUUCUUGCCAAGUAAGGCAGCACGAAGAUGGCUGGUAAAAGUGAGGCGGGUGUCCUCACCUCUGAAACUAAUAAACACAUCAUACUUUUCUCGAAGAGGGGGGAUAUGAUCAACGUCAUCAUCGUUAUCAUCAACAGCAGCAUCAGCAGCACCAGAAGAAGAAGUCGAGGAAGAAAAUGUCAAUGAUCUGCCGCACAUGUAAAACAGAGUCCCGAUGGCGAUGACGACGAUGUUGAAAACUUGAAUGAACCCAAUCAAGUCCAUCUCUCUAUCUGUUAGAGAAGAGAAUGAAGCGAUCGAAGCGAGAGUAUUUGAUUACACAAAACAGAAAGAGAAUCUGAACUAUUCUUGCAUUUGAGACUAGAUUAGAUUUUAGUAC